UGCCCAGCUACUCCUAUCCCUACCUCCUCGUGGUACUGGCCGGGGUACGAGUAACCUUGGGGAAGAUCGGGUAACCAACCCCCGGUGGGAACUUUGGUCGUAUGCUGACAGGGAAGG
rnacentral:ribozyme from 1 species